AAAAUAUUUGAGAAACAAAAAUGAGCAAGGCGAUUUAGGUCCAAUUAUCCCUACCCAAUUUGAAGACACAACAUUAAACCGCAAAAUCAAACAGAUCUCAUUGGGCAAAUUUCUUCAAUGGCUUCGUCAGGGAAAUCGAUGAUCCAAACCCUAAAACGGUUCAUGAAGAAGCCAUGGGAGUUCACCGGACCUCAAACAAGCCCCGAGUAUUUAGACUCUAUACCCAAGGCAGCGGAGUACAGAAUCUUCUGUCCUGCCACUACCCAAUCUCAGGCCAUCAUCCCCACAUCCGAUCCUGAAACCGUCUUCGAUAUCAAGUAUUAUUCUCGUGACCAGAGGCGUAACCGUCCUCCAAUCAAGCGCACCUUCCUCACCAAAGCUGAUGUUGAGAAGAUGAGGAUGGAGUACAAAUUUGAUGUCAACGAUUUUCCUAAGCCUUAUUUGACUGCUAAGGUUGAAGAGGAUGAAAAUGCUAUUGGUGGUGGCUACCAGAAAUGAAGGUAAUUUUUUGUAACAAUAAUUGGGGGUAGAGGAACAAACCCAGCUACUAAUAUUCCCCGAAAUGAAGGCUUUGUUCUUGUGGCGAAGACUCCACUUGCUGUCAAUAAUGGUAGCUGAUGAUGUUUUGCAGUUUCAGCCAAGUGUAUUGCAAAUGUACUCCCUUUUUUAAAAAUGUUGAGAUAUAAUAUUCUUGGAGUAAUUUCCUUUGGUUUUAGAGUGAAAAGUUUCACCAGUUGAAUAAUUUUCUUCAUUUAGCUUAUGCGGAUUGUUCCAUGUCUUGUGCUUGAAAGAAUGAAAGUUAGUCGAACGUCGCACCUGAUUAGCUAUAGUCUGAUUUUGAUUUCCCAAAGGUAAUUGUGUAGCAGCUUUGUCUGAUAUCAUACCAUGGAGUUGAAUAAGUAAUGAAAUUUCAAUUUUAGGUUUUGGCAA